rnacentral:tRNA from 1 species
GCCGAAGUGGUGGAAUGGCAGACACACGGGACUUAAAAUCCCGAGGGUUCAUCGCCCGUGCGGGUUCGAGUCCCGCCUUCGGCACCA